rnacentral:rRNA from 1 species
UACGUAGGGGGCAAGCGUUGUCCGGAUUUAUUGGGCGUAAAGAGCGUGUAGGCGGCCAGUUAGGUCUGUUGUGAAAACUCGAGGCUCAACCUCGAGACGCCGAUGGAAACCAACUGGCUAGAGUCCGGAAGAGGAGAGUGGAAUUCCCGGUGUAGCGGUGAAAUGCGCAGAUAUCGGGAAGAACACCCGUGGCUAAGGCGGCUCUCUAGGACGGUACUGACGCUGAGACGCGAAAGCGUGGGGAGCGAACAGG